GUGAGAGAGAGAGAGACAUAUAUCCUAGGAAAUAGAGGUGUGUGUGUGAGAGAGAGAGGGAGACAUAUAUCCUAGGAAAUAGAGGUGUGUGUGAGAGAGAUAGAGAGAGACAUAUAUCCUAGGAAAUAGAGGUGUGUGUAUGAGAGAGAGAGAGACAUAUAUCCUAGGAAAUAGAGGUGUGUGUAUGAGAGAGAGAGAGACAUAUAUCCUAGGAAAUAGAGGUGUGUGUAUGAGAGAGAGAGAGACAUAUAUCCUAGGAAAUAGAGGUGUGUGUGUGAGAGAGAGGGGGAGACAUAUAUCCUAGGAAAUAGAGGUGUGUGUGAGAGAGAGAGAGGGGGAGACAUAUAUCCUAGGAAAUAGAGGUGUGUGUGUGAGAGAGAGGGGGAGACAUAUAUCCUAGGAAAUAGAGGUGUGUUUGUGAGAGAGAGGGGGAGACAUAUAUCCUAGGAAAUAAAGGUGUGUGUGAGAGAGAUAGAGAGAGACAUAUAUCCUAGGAAAUAGAGGUGUGUGUAUGAGAGAGAGAGAGACAUAUAUCCUAGGAAAUAGAGGUGUGUGUGUGUGAGAGAGAGGGAGACAUAUAUCCUAGGAAAUAGAGGUGUGUGUGAGAGAGAUAGAGAGAGACAUAUAUCCUAGGAAAUAGAGGUGUGUGUAUGAGAGAGAGAGAGACAUAUAUCCUAGGAAAUAGAGGUGUGUGUAUGAGAGAGAGAGAGACAUAUAUCCUAGGAAAUAGAGGUGUGUGUGUGAGAGAGAGAGGGAGACAUAUAUCCUAGGAAAUAGAGGUGUGUGUGUGUGUGAGAGAGAGAGAGAGACAUAUAUCCUAGGAAAUAGAGGUGUGUGUGAGAGAGAGAGGGAGACAUAUAUCCUAGGAAAUAGAGGUGUGUGUGAGAGAGAGAGGGAGACAUAUAUCCUAGGAAAUAGAGGUGUGUGUGUGAGAGAGAGAGGGAGACAUAUAUCCUAGGAAAUAUAGGUGUGUGUGAGAGAGAGAGGGAGACAUAUAUCCUAGGAAAUAGAGGUGUGUGUGAGAGAGAGAGGGAGACAUAUAUCCUAGGAAAUAGAGGUGUGUGUGAGAGAGAGAGAGAGAGAG